rnacentral:tRNA from 1 species
GCGAAAGUAGCUCAGCUGGUAGAGCAUCACCUUGCCAAGGUGAGGGUCGCGGGUUCGAAUCCCGUCUUUCGCUCAA